rnacentral:rRNA from 1 species
AGCGAACGCUGGCGGCAGGCUUAACACAUGCAAGUCGAGCGGGCAUCCUUGUGGUGUCAGCGGCAGACGGGUGAGUAACGCGUGGGAACGUGCCCUUCGGUUCGGAAUAACUCAGGGAAACUUGAGCUAAUACCGGAUACGUGCGAGAGCAGAAAGGUUUAUCUGCCGAAGGAUCGGCCCGCGUCUGAUUAGCUAGUUGGUGAGGUUAUGGCUCACCAAGGCGACGAUCAGUAGCUGGUCUGAGAGGAUGAUCAGCCACACUGGGACUGAGACACGGCCCAGACUCCUACGGGAGGCAGCAGUUGGGAAUAUUGGACAAUGGGGGCAACCCUGAUCCAGCCAUGCCGCGUGAGUGAUGACGGCCUUAGGGUUGUAAAGCUCUUUUCUCCGGGACGAUAAUGACGGUACCGGAGGAAUAAGCCCCGGCUAACUUCGUG